rnacentral:lncRNA from 1 species
UUGAUCCAAACUUAGUAUGUUUAUUAAGAAAUCCAGUAAAUAAGUACAUUAACAAAUAUCAGAAUCCAUAAACUUAAAGAUCAUGAUCCAAUAUGAUUACUCUAGUAAUGGUACACACUUAACAAUUAUCAGAAUCCAUAUAUACUCUUUUCUACUAUCAUUUAUGGCAAAAAGAUAUCACUAAUUAGCGCAACUCUAUAGUAAACGUACCACGUACAUAUUACAACGUCACUUGUGCUAACAUUUUUUAUUUUUCAAAAAUGAUUUGUUGGGAUGAUGAAGUACUUGGUAUUGGCACCAUUUGCGUGUCACAGCAUAUACACAUUCUUCAUGAGCAAAGAUGAAAGUGAGAGGGACUUGUUCUACAUACUCCUACUCCCAUUAACUCUCUUCAGAAUGGUUCACUACCAGACAUGGAUAUCUUUCUCCCGCUACAGGACUGCAAACGGGAAUAAUCGAAUUCUUGAUAAAAGCAUCGAAUUUGAUCAAGUUGACAGAGAAAGCAACUGGUAGGUACCUUCAUUUUUCACUUUUUGUAGAUACAAGGGAUUUAACAAAACGAAAGGACAAUGCAAAAUCAAAUGAUUGUUUUGUAGGGAUGAUGAGAUCAUACUUUUUGGGUUGGUAUAUUAUAUCGGAUACCUGAUUCUGGAACAAGCUCAUCACAUGUCUAUGUGGAGGACCGAUGGGAUCGUUAUAACUGCCUUGCUUCAUAUUGGUCCUGUAGAGUUCCUCUAUUAUUGGCUACACAGAGCUCUGCAUCAUCAUUUUCUCUACUCUCGAUACCAUUCGCAUCACCACUCCUCCAUUGUUACUGAGCCAAUCAGUGGUAAUUUGUCUUCAAAAUUGUUUUCCAUCACUUUGAUUAAUUAGAUCUGAUCAAUCCUGGAGAAGAUGCAAGUGACCAUGUUAGUUCUUCUUUAACUAAUUUGAAAUUGAUCUUCGGUAAGUAGUAGUUGCAAUUUUGAAGAAGAAAAAAUCUAAAAAAGUAACUCAGUUAUAUACUAUUGUCAAGUCAUACAGUAAGUCACAUGGCAUAACUAACGGGGGAUAUAUAGUGCAAUUUUACCAAUCAAUUACCAACUUGUAUGGUUUACAAAGUUAUUUUUAUUUUAUUUUUGGCAGCUGUAGUUCAUCCCUUUGUUGAGAUACUAGCAUAUUAUACACUCUUUGGCUUACCUGUAUUCACAACAUUAUUCACCGGGACUGCUUCUAUAGCUUCAAUUGGUGCUUAUAUCAUCUAUAUUGAUUUCAUGAACCUCAUGGGCCAUUGCAACUUCGAGCUAAUUCCUAAGUGGAUGUUCUCUGUCUUUCCCCCUCUCAAGUACUUCAUGUAUACCCCCUCGUGAGUUAAAAAUUCUUGCCCUGUAUUUUGAAUUUUUUUCUCCGCGAUGCUUUAUACAACAAUGUCUCUAAUUAGACAGUUAUUAUUAAACUUUAGCUACUCGGGGAAAUAAAUAGAGACAAUGGAAAUUAAUGUUUCUUUCAAAUGAACUUUUUCCUAUAGUCAGUAAUAACUGAAGCUCUGAAUUUGUGAUUAUUUAUUCUAUUACCGUUAAUAUCAAUGUUUUGAUGGCACAGGUACCACUCACUACAUCACACCCAAUUCAGAACAAAUUAUUGCCUUUUCAUGCCACUCUAUGACUAUAUCUACGAUACAGUGGACAAGUCAUCGGACACAUUGUAUGAGAAGUCACUUGAGAGAGAAGCUGAAGUGCCAGAUGUGGUGCACCUUACACAUCUAACAACCCUAGAAUCCAUCUACCAUCUUCGAAUAGGAUUUGCAUCGCUGGCCUCAAAGCCUCACGCCUCUAAGUGGUAUAUGUUGUUCAUGUGGCCCGUCACACUAUGGUCAAUAAUGCUUGCAUGGAUUUAUGAUUACACAUUUGUUGUUGAGAGAAACUUGUUCAAGAAUCUCAAAUUACAAACUUGGGCUAUUCCAAAGUAUCGCGUACAAGUAAUUAAGCUAUCAUUAUUGAAGAUUGGGUUACAUUUUGCAGGUCUUUUUUUUAAAGGGAUUAGUAAUUUGACUUGUUUUUUGAUUUCGUUGCAGUACUUUAUGCAAUGGCAAAGAGAGAGUAUUAACAAUAUGAUCGAGAAAGCCAUCAUUGAAGCAGAUCAAAAAGGCAUAAAAGUGUUGAGCCUUGGACUCUUAAAUCAGGCAAGUCAAAAUAUAUGUCUAAAAAGCCUUAUAAUACCCAUCCUUAUUUAUCUAUGAGAACAAUGCACAAUCUAUUCUUAACUAGUAAUUAUCUUGCAGGCUUAUAGCAAAAUGUUCCGUAAGCAAUCUCAACAUACUGUUAUUAUGGACAGAAAGAUUUUUUAAAAAAUUCACCCCUCAUCCUAUAUCAAUGUUUGUAGGUUGAACCAAUUAAAGAGGGUCAGUUCAUAUUUAUGCAUUAUUUCAAAUGUAACUUUCCAGGAAGAGCAACUGAAUAAUAACGGAGAACUUCACCUAAGGAGGCAUCCUCAGUUGAAAGUGAAGGUGGUUGAUGGAAGUAGCCUAGCUGUGGCCGUGGUUCUCAAUUCCAUUCCUAAAGGAACUUCUCAAGUUGUCCUUCGAGGUCGUUUUUCCAAAGUUGCUAACUCCAUUGCUCUUGUCUUGUGCGAAGGAGGAAUUCAGGUAUAAUUGACUAUUAAUCUCCUUCCCCAGUUUUGGUUUUCUAUUCUCUCAUUCAUCAUAAUUUUCUAUGUAUAGGUUGUCACGUUGGAUGAAGAAGAUUACAAGAGACUUAAAGCAAAGCUUACCCCAGAGGCUGCAACUAAUUUGGUCCUCUCAAAAAGUUAUAAUGUUUCAAAGGUAUAAACCAGAAACAGAUUGAAAUAUACUACUCUAAAUCUAGACAUAUUUGUUACAUUUCCUUGGACCUGCCCCUCCCUCGUCAAUAUCUUAACCCAAUAUGUUGAGGUUCGAACAACUUUGGACUUCGUGAAAGUCAAAAUAUAGAAAAGAAUCUUCCCCAACAUGUCAUGUAUGUCUCCUUUCUAUAAAAGAGACUCUUAAUUGAAGUAUUACAUUGCAGACAUGGCUAGUAGGGGAUGGAUUGAGCAAAGAUGAGCAAUUGAAAGCACCAAAAGGAACAUUAUUCAUUCCUUAUUCACAAUUCCCACCGAGGAAAGUUCGCAAGGAUUGUUUCUAUUUCAACACACCAGCCAUGAUUGCUCCAAAACAUGUUGAAAAUGUAGACUCUUGUGAGGUUAGAAAAGAUUAUUCAAUUUUCCUUAAUUUCUCUAUACUAAUUUGAUCUUAAAUGAGUGUGAUUUUACAUUUUGAAUCUAGAAUUGGCUGCCAAGAAGAGUGAUGAGUGCCUGGAGAAUAGCUGGAAUUUUGCAUGCAUUGGAAGGUUGGAAUGAGCAUGAAUGUGGUGACAUGAUACUUGAUACUCAAAAAGUGUGGAAAGCUAGCCUCAAACAUGGUUUUUGCCCAUUAACCAAGAUAUCCGCUGCUUAAUCGGGUUUAGACUACAUAUAGACUGCUCCAUUUACUAUCAAAACUUGGAUCAGUGGUGACUUUAAAGCUUUGUGCAACAGAUUUAUUCUGUUGCUCUAAGGUAUAGAAGUUCACUCAAUAAAAUUUGUCCUACAUAUAAAAAAAAAAGUAUGUACAAUGCUAAUCACAAAUAAGAUUUGAAUUUUAAGGCCUCUUAUUAAUAUUUGGCUUAAGAUCAACUGUCUGUGGUCAAUUCUCUCCUCCCAAACCCAACUCCGUACAAACAUAGUGAGAAAUGGUUUACAAUAACCGAUUGGUACACACAACUAACCAAGUUAUGAGAAUUCAAAGAGAAUUGAUGAAAAGUAAGUCAUUAUGAAUGAAGGAAAAAAAUCGCAUAUGAGGAAAUCAAAAACAGCAAAUUAGAAACAAAUCACAAAGAAAAUUGAAGUGAAGCUUUACCAGAACGACGAAGCAAUUGAGAACCGCCGGAGAAGAGCACAUUUGAAUUAUAUGAUAUCAGGAGCUGUUGCAACCCACCUAAAUAAAAUUACUCCAUUAAUAAAAGGGUUUCUAUCAAAGACACUAAAAUAUAAGUUAUUUUUGCGUAAACCAGAGAAGACAGAGAUGAAAU